AGGGAGUCGUAUAAUGAAGUACACAAAGUUUUGGGCUUUGUAGUUUGGAUUCGCGAUCUAACUUUCUA
rnacentral:tRNA from 1 species